rnacentral:rRNA from 1 species
UACAGAGGGGGCAAGCGUUAUUCGGAAUUAUUGGGCGUAAAGGGCGCGUAGGCGGCUUUGCAAGUGACGGGUGAAAUCCCUCGGCUUAACCGAGGAACUGCCUGUCAAACUGCAUGGCUUGAGACCGGGAGAGGUGAGUGGAAUUCCGAGUGUAGAGGUGAAAUUCGUAGAUAUUCGGAAGAACACCAGUGGCGAAGGCGGCUCACUGGACUGGUAUUGACGCUGAGGUGCGAAAGCGUGGGGAGCAAACAGG